UAUAGUUAAAAUAAACAAACAUAUGCUAAAAUUUCCCCCCCAAAAAACUAUUAUACCAAUUUUCCCUCUCUAGCUCUGACUUCCUCCUUACAUAACCAAAAUCCUUCAAAAAAAAAUUAACAAUUAACAGUAAUAAAAUAUAUAAAUCAAUAAAACAAAUUAAUCCUAAAGUAUUUAAAACCAGCUAGUGCAUAAAAAUCCAAUCCAAUUCAGAGAAUAUCUCCCUUAUAGUUUCUAUAACCAUAUAAUUCCCCCCCCCAAAUCUUUCUUAACGUAAGAUCUUUUGAAAAUAUUCUAUUUGCAAUUCAGUACAACACAUUUUAUAAUUUCAAUACAAGAAAUUACAGUAUCUAUUCAACUUUAAUCCUAGUCUUUUAUGAUAGAUGUGAAACAUAUAAUCAACCCAUUUCUUCCAGAUCUUUCUCACAUAAAGUCUUUCAGGAACGCUAAUAUUUUUAUCUGUUAAUAUUUCAAAAAAAACUUCUUUCCAGGAUAAUACUUUUAUCUCUUGCCGUUUUCUUUGAUGCAUUAGUCUCUGUCUUUCCUUCAUUACUCCUUUUAAAAAGUCAAUCACAAUAAUUUCCUAAAAGUUCCUUAUGUCCAACAAUCCACAAGUUACUGCCAUAUAUUCCAUCAGUCCGGAAAGAGAACUCUUGGAAAGCAUUAAUCCUGUAAAUUUUUCCGGUUCGGGAGGCAGUGUUUCAGUGUUUCAGUGUUUCUAUUGAUGAUAUUCAAAUUGGGAUUUUUAUAUAUUACUGUUUUUUUUUAUUUUUAGCCAAAUCUGUAGCAAUGCAUUCCUUAAUAUGUGUCUUCUAAAAUCUCUCUCUGUUUUGUGGUUUUUGUCCUGCUUGCAGAUCGUGGCCUUCUAUUGCUAGGACCUCUUUUAUUCUUUAAUUCCAUCCAGUCCUUUAAUCCAGUUAAGAUAGAAGCUUGAUAGUAUAUUUCCCAUUCUGGAAGAGCCAGUCCCCCUUUGCCUUUCGUAUCUUGUAAUAAUUUAAGUCUAAUUCUGGGCUUUCCCCCCCACCAUAUAAAUUUAGUGAUUAUUUUAUUUAAGGUUUCGAAAAAUAUUUUUCCUAAUUUUAUUGGGAUGACCUGAAACAAAAAUAGUAUUUUCGGCAAUACGUUCGUUUUGAUCAUUGCGAUCCUCCGUAAAAAUGAAAUCUGUAAGUUUUUCCAAUUUUCUAAAUCUUUUUUUAUUUGCUGUAGAAUUUUAUCAUAGUUGUCCUCCCUGAUUGAGGAGCUGUAAACCAAAUCCCUAAAUAUUUUAUUUUCUUGGUUGUUUGCAUUUUUAUUCUAUCUUCCAAUUCUUCUUCUUGUUUCUUUGUAAGGUUUUUAGUUAUUAACUUUGAUUUAUUUUUGUUGAUCUUAAGUCCCACUUCCUCACUGAAUUCCUCUAUUUUUGGGAUCAGUUUGGGUCCAGUUUCUAGUGGUUCUUCCAUUAUAAAUUUUUGUCAUUCACAUUUCAUUUUGUCACUCCAGUUGCUUCCUUUCUUUAAUAAGUCUAUUUCACUAUUUCUUUGAUAAGUGUAACUCCUAUCUCUUGGUGAGUUGUCCCAGGGAGAGUUGGCUGCAGAGAGUUGGCCAUGAUGAGUUGGCCAUGGCGAGCUGUCGUAGACCCAGUUUGGUUUGUCCAAAAGCAGAGGAUUAUUUCCAUGUCAGUUAAUUGACCUACUGAAUUAGAUUUCACAGGUGAGCCAUCAAAUAAUCCUUUACCAACCAGAUCUCCUCUCCUAUGUCCUUUGCUGGGGUCCCACCAUAUCUUUGUGAAAAUGGUUGCCAUUCUUUACCAGCUAGUCUUUAUGUAAGUGAACCAUAGUGGGCUUGAAUCCUUCCCUCUUCUCUGAUACUCCUCAUGGUCUACCACUGUUUCAAAAGAAAUCAAUCAAUCAAUCAGAAUAAAGUUGGAAAGGACCUUGAAGGACUUCUGGUCCAGCCCCCUGUUCAAGCAGGAGACCCUAUACGAUUUCAGAUAGGUGGCUGUCUAGUUUUUUCUUAAAAAUCUCCAGUGGUGUAGCACUCACAACUUCUGGUGGCAAGCUGUUCCACUAGUUAAUUGUUGUCACUGUUAGGAAGUUUCUCUUAAUUCCAGGUUGCUUCUCUCCUUGGUUAGUUUCCAUCCAUUUCAUCUUUUCUUUUGUGCAUGGAAUUGAAGAAUGCAUGGACAUUGUUGUCUGCGGUGGUAAGGAAACAUCUCCAGGGACACACCAAACUCAAAGAAACAAUUGAAGCAGGACGUUCUCUUCCGUACUAUCUGCCCAACAUUUUAGCCAAGAACUUCAGCUUCAAACCGGACAGAAACCUGAGACUUCACUGGAGGGAACACCCUGAUUUGUCACUCAUGCAUUGGAGAGUUUUGUACUAACCCCGUGGAGUGUCUAUUCUGGGAGAAUGCAUGCAUUCAAGUGAAUAGCAGUUUGGAAUUGGGAUAUAACAUUUCCAUAGGAUAUAACUUUU